rnacentral:rRNA from 1 species
AUUGAACGCUGGCGGCAGGCCUAACACAUGCAAGUCGAGCGAGCGGCGGCCGGGUGAGUAAUGUAUGGGGACUGCCCGAUAGAGGGGGAUAACUACUGGAAACGGUAGCUAAUACCGCAUACUAUCGGAUAACCCAUAUGGGAUUAGCUAGUAGGGGAGGUAAUGGCUCACCUAGGCGACGAUCCCUAGCUGGUCUGAGAGGAUGAUCAGCCACACUGGGACUGAGACACGGCCCAAUCGCCUACGGAGGCAGCCGUGGGGAAUAUGGCACAAUGGGCGCAAGCCUGAUGCAGCCAUGGCGCGUGUAUGAAGAAGGCCCUAGGGUUGUAAAGUACUUUCAGUCGGGAGGCGGUAACGAAAGAAGAAGCACCGGCUAACUCCGUGACAGCAGCCGCGGUAAUUC